AUGCUUGUGCAAGGCACGGUACGACGCCUACAUGCCCUGAGAAACCCCACGGUGCUCCUAAAACCUGAUAUAUCCAAAGCCUUCGACUCCGUCCAAUGGCCUUUCCUCAUCGAGGUGCUACACAUCAUGGGGUUCAGCACACGAUGGAUUGGAUGGAUCUGUGGAUUACUUGCAAUGUCUUUGACAAGGAUCAUGCUCAACGGGGUGCCAGGCAAACCAAUCUACAACCAAUGUGGCCUACGUCAAGGGAACCCGCUCUCGCCGAUGUUGUUCAUCUUAAUUAUGGAGCCACUACAGCGGUUGUUCCAUGCAGCAUCUGAAUCAGGUCUCCUGGCACCCUUGGCAGCAAAUGGACUCAAGAAUCGCCUGUCAAUCUUCGCGGAUGACGUGAUCAUCUUCCUCAAACCACACCCGACGGACCUCACCACGUGCACAACGAUACUAGGCAUGUUUGCCACAGCUUCAGGAUUCCAUACAAACCUUACAAAGAGCGCCGCUCUUCCAAUCAGGUGCACACAAGAGCAAAUGGUUGAGGUUACAAGUGCAUUAGGCUGCUCGUUGGGUGGCUUCCCAAUGAGAUAUCUCGGACUACCGCUUACCAUCGGAAGCAAUCGACUGCGCAGCUACAAGGCCUGGUGGACCACAUCGCUGCUUGCCUACCUACUUGGCGUGCCGCGACCCUACCGAAGAGCAUCAGACUGA
rnacentral:rRNA from 1 species